ACAUUCAUGUUUAUGACGGUCCAAUGAAAGUGACGUAUACAACUCGUAUAAAUGCGACGGCGCUGACCGAUGACGUCCUUCGUGGAGACGAUUCCUUAGCAGUCGCCUUCCCGUCUCAACAUGAGGGCUAAGUGGAGAAAGAAGCGCAUGCGCAGGCUGAAGCGUAAGAGGAGAAAGAUGAGGCAGAGGUCCAAGUAGACUGUCCUCUCCGCCAUGGCUGUGACAGCACGUGUUGCCCACAAUCAGACCGGUGAGCUCAGCUGAAGACCCCAGGACCCUCACGGUGUCAAGUCUGCCAGUGGCCCCGUAUCAAGCAGAGGCAGCAGCGGAGCUGCAGCAGCUGGUGGUACCGAGGAGCUGAUUCAAGACCUGCUGGAUGACAGGCUUUUCUUCUGGGACAUUCUGGACUUUUUGUUCUUAAUUCCUCAACUUUUGUCGUUUGUUUAUACUGUGAUUAAAGGUUUUGGUUUCUAAAUAA